GACGAACGCUGGCGGCGUGCUUAACACAUGCAAGUCGAACGCUGAAGCUCAGCUUGCUGGGUGGAUGAGUGGCGAACGGGUGAGUAACACGUGAGUAACCUGCCCUCUUCUUUGGGAUAACGCCCGGAAACGGGUGCUAAUACUGGAUAUUCACUGAUUCUCGCAUGGGGGUUGGUGGAAAGGUUUUUUCUGGUGGGGGAUGGGCUCGCGGCCUAUCAGCUUGUUGGUGGGGUGAUGGCCUACCAAGGCUUUGACGGGUAGCCGGCCUGAGAGGGUGACCGGUGACAUUGGGACUGAGACACGGUCCAGACUCCUACGGGAGGCAGCAGUGGGGAAUAUUGCACAAUGGGCGAAAGCCUGAUGCAGCGACGCCGCGUGAGGGAUGGAGGCCUUCGGGUUGUAAACCUCUUUCGCUCAUGGUCAAGCCGCAGCUUUGGGUUGUGGUGAGGGUAGUGGGUAAAGAAGCGCCGGCUAACUACGUG
rnacentral:rRNA from 1 species